GCCCGCCCCGUGCCGCCGGAAGGAGGGCGGCUCCGCAGCGUGUGCGCCCCUCGCCAUGGCGGCGCCGUCGCGGUUCCUGAUACGCGGUGGGCGCGUGGUCAACGACGACUCCUCGCAGGUGGCCGACGUGCUGGUGGAGGACGGCGUGGUGCGGGCGCUGGGGCGCGACCUGCUGCCGCCCGGGGACGCGCCGGCCGGGCUGCGGGUCCUAGACGCCGCCGGCAAGCUGGUCUUGCCCGGCGGCAUCGACACGCACACGCAGUUCCCCUUCAUGGGCUCGCGGUCCGUGGACGACUUCUACCAGCGCACCAAGCAUACUGUCUUGUCCACUCUGACUGGCGGGCUUCCCCAUCAAGAAGUCUCUUAGUGAAACUCCAUGCCGCUCAGGUCACUUCCAGCCCGCUGGGUGACACAUCCUGUCUGCUGGCCUCUUCCCCCUCCAGGCUCUGGGGUGAGCAAGGCUGACAGCAGCUAUGCCACGACCUCCACCAUAGUCUUCCAGUUUGCCUGUUUCUUUGGUCUCAGCAUUCUCUGCUAUGACACACAAUGCUAAUGUCUGGAUUGCGACACAUGUAAAUUCCAGCAAGGUGGAAGGAAUGAAAGAGGAUGAGAGAAAUCUAGCACUGCCAGAAAUUAAGAAGUGAAAAAUCUUGGGGAAAUGGGAAUGGACACAAAAACCAUUAAAGAGAGUUUAUUUCAUGAAGACAAGGUUGUUUUCACAUUCAAAAAAAUCAAUCAUUAUUACACAUCAUAUUUAUAGGAUAAAGGAGGAAAGUCCAAUGAUCACCUUAGUAGAUGCAGAAAAAGAAUUUGGUGUAACCCAGUAUGUUAAAUGACUUAUUUUUCUAUUGCAUCAUAUUCUUGACAAUCCUAAUGUUGUUUCUUGUAUUUAACAAACUCUAAAACCUAAUCCUGCUCAGUACUUUUCUAGGCUUACAUGUAUAUUUCUUAUGAAACCUUUAGGGCAUGUGUUUAGAAUGUAAAUCAAUAAGAAAACUCUUCCAGAAAACCUAAUCCAACUAGGAUAGUGUGUAUAGUAGAGAGGAACCCUCGUGUUAAAUAAAGACCCCUCCCCUAAAAAAUUAAGCAGUAUCAUAUUGGAUUAUUUCCCUGACCUAUGUGAUGAUUUUUAUCUCUGUAAUAAAAGAAGCCAUAAGUAUAGGAAGUGCCUGCUGCUCAGUUAUUAAGGUGAAUUUCAGAAAGAUUCCCUUUCUCUCCUAUUGAAUCAUUACUUAUUUCAGCAGAAGCUGAAGAUACAAUAGGAAGGCCAUUAAUAUGCAGUACACUUUUUGCUUCCCUUUCCAAUUUUAGUGUUUCUGGAGUCAUCCUUUAAUGUUGUGAUAAUAUUCAAUUGAGAAAAUUAAGUUUUCUGUUUUUUGACAAAUAAUUUGAGCCCUCAACAAUCAAAAGUUUUUUUUUUUUUAAUUAAAUCAAGUGGUCUGCGGAUUAUCCAGUUCAUUUGGAUAAUACCCGCCAUAGGUAUGGAUCUCUUUCUAAUUAAUGUUGUCUGGAGAGAAAGAUGAAAACAGCUUUUUACAAUUUAAAUGUCAUUGGUCUCCUGUCAGAAUACGUUUUUAUUGUGUUUUAUCAUACAAGAUGGUACAUUUCCCUACUACUUCCUCAGCAUCUGUCAGGUAUAUUAGGAAAUGGGUUUUUCCCUCAGGUAAUUGCUCAAAUCUAUAAGAUGGUUUUAGGUCUACUCUCUCUGACCUGUUUUGACCUUUAAACCUCUUCGAGUCCUAGAUGCACGUUGCAUCUCUUUCUAAGAUCCUGGGAGGUGUGGCCAUUUGAAAAGCCUUCACUUUUUAUCGCCAUUGAUAUUUACUGUUAUACCUCUCUGCGAGGGCUGCUUGAUGGGGGUGUCACAUGAACAUUCCCCCUGCUUGUUUUCUGUGCUUUAUGGGAGUCAUGUGAGCUUUCUGUUUUAGAUAAUUUACUAUGUUCUCCACUGUGGACAAAGCAGGGAGUGAGCAUAUUGCUGUAAGGCAAAACAGCAUGAUUGAUAAGAACAAGCCAGACAUAACUCACUAUGGCAAAUUUGUACCUGGAAAUCAUGGAGAUGUGAUGGCAGACAAGCGCUGUGGUCUUGGAGGAGUCUCGCCAAACUGUGAAGUGAAACCUGCAGAAUUUCCUGUGACAGCACUGACUUCCCAAUGCCUAGCAGCACCAAAACCAACAACACCAGGAGGAAAACACUUUAAAUCAGGAGAUACUGAAAUGACUUUGUAUCUGCCAAAUUCGGAGAGAGAGAUUGCACGCUGCCAUGGGUGCUCUAAUUUCAUUUAAUUUUUUUUUUUUAAUAGAAAGCCUUCACCUCUCCUUUUUUGGUCACUUAAGCUUUUCUUGCUGGUGGUUUAAAAAUGUCUUUUAUUCCAUGACAUUAUAGGAAAGGCUCUUUUGGAGCCAUAGUUUAGUUAUAAAUGACUCUUGCACAACUGUUUUUUAUUUCCAUUUUGUUUCACUGACUGAGAAUGUAAAUUGAACUUUAGUGCUAUUGUGCUUUGUUCUGCCUCUCUUUGUGGAAAUGUGUUCUGAAUUAAAGCCCACGAAUAAACCAGAGCCGUCCCAAA